AUGCCAUUAAAACCUGCUGCUCGCUGUCAGAGGAGCCUGCGCCUUCUCGCCAAUCCAGCCGAGGCGCCACCCCUCGCUCCCGCCUCUCACUACACUGUAACCAGCAUCCCGCAUGGAUUAUCAAAGUAUCCGCAGGGACGAGCGCAGAGACGACCGGAGGAGUGUGUCUUCUGAGCACAUGAUUGCUGGAGCCUCUGAGGAGACAAAAGUAAAGAAAGCGAGGAACAGACAAGAUCUGUUUAAAGAACGAAAGCAUUCUGGCAUGUAUAUCCUCCAUGUACGUCGCGCUCCACAGCAGCUAUAAUGAUAUAAAGCCUAAGGCCCAGCGAUACGAAUGAAAUGAAAUACAAUCUGCCUUUUUUAUCAGCACAGUCAGUUACCUGAAAAUGUGUCAUGUUUUCUUCAGUGCCAAUCAGGACAGUCUUGUCUUUCUUGUC